CACCAGCCUCCACUCAUCAGACUUACUCACCCAGCAUCUCCAGCAUGGCUGCACUCAGCUGGUUCCACUCCCCUGGCAUGGUGGCACCCUCCUUGGCAACGGCACAGUUUAACAUGUGGUACCACUCAUGUCCCCCAGAGGGCACAGCUUCCUGCCCUCGCCCAACAGCACUGCCAACAAGUCUGUGCUUGUCCCAGAGAUGAAGCCCAUGGUGCCUGAUCUAUGCAUUGAGCAGCUGUGGAGUGACACGGCCUUCUCCCACAGGUGGCAGUGCUCUUCCCUGUAUCAGAGCUGAGGAGCUCCACCAAGCACCACGAGCCCUCCUGUCUGGGUGACUACAUCUUCCAAGUCUGUACUCUACAUCCAUGCCCUCGACGACCCCUUCAGCAGCAGUGUCACCCUGGUGUGUGUGUGUGUGUGUGUGUGUAUUGACAUGUGUGAAAGGGGGAGGGUAUAAUGAGUGUGUGUGGGUCUGGCUUGUUGGGAGGUGAGUACAUGGACCUCAAGGGGUAAAUGUUUCUUGAAUGUACGCUAAUUAAUACUUUUUUAAUGUAUUGUAACAUAGAAAAGAUCCACCUGUGUAUAGAA
rnacentral:lncRNA from 1 species